AUUGACUACGACGACGUCGGCCGCGUCAUAGGUCGAAGCGACUUCGUAGCCUUCGGCGCGCAGCUGCGUGAGGAUGCGCUCGGAAUCCACGAGCGCCUUGGGGCAGCCGAGGCUGACGAAUCCAACUUUGGGGGAGCGUUUCUGUGCGCGUUUGGCCAUGGGGCGGGAGUAAUCAAAAAAGGGGCGUAUGGUAGCCCGUCUCAUUCAUGAACGGCAGGACGUCUCGGCGGAGCCUUGGCUGAAAGGGUCUUUUCGGGAUCGUGCGCGGCAGGAGCUCGGCGCCUGCGCCGA
rnacentral:misc_RNA from 1 species